rnacentral:rRNA from 1 species
UACGUAGGGUCCGAGCGUUAAUCGGAAUUACUGGGCGUAAAGCGUGCGCAGGCGGUUUUGUAAGCCAGAUGUGAAAUCCCCGGGCUUAACCUGGGAAUGGCAUUUGGGACUGCAAGGCUCGAGUGCGGCAGAGGAGACUGGAAUUCCUGGUGUAGCAGUGAAAUGCGUAGAUAUCAGGAGGAACACCGAUGGCGAAGGCAGGUCUCUGGGCUGACACUGACGCUCAUGCACGAAAGCGUGGGGAGCAAACAGG